GAUGAACGCUGGCGGCGUGCCUAAUACAUGCAAGUCGAGCGAAUGGAUUAAGAGCUUGCUCUUAUGAAGUUAGCGGCGGACGGGUGAGUAACACGUGGGUAACCUGCCCAUAAGACUGGGAUAACUCCGGGAAACCGGGGCUAAUACCGGAUAAUAUUUUGAACUGCAUGGUUCAAAAUUGAAAGGCGGCUUUGGCUGUCACUUAUGGAUGGACCCGCGUCGCAUUAGCUAGUUGGUGAGGUAACGGCUCACCAAGGCAACGAUGCGUAGCCGACCUGAGAGGGUGAUCGGCCACACUGGGACUGAGACACGGCCCAGACUCCUACGGGAGGCAGCAGUAGGGAAUCUUCCGCAAUGGACGAAAGUCUGACGGAGCAACGCCGCGUGAGUGAUGAAGGCUUUCGGGUCGUAAAACUCUGUUGUUAGGGAGGAACAAGUGCUAGUUGAAUAAGCUGGCACCUUGACGGUACCUAACCAGAAAGCCACGGCUAACUACGUGCCAGCAGCCGCAGUAA
rnacentral:rRNA from 1 species